GCCCGCUCAGAAACUACAAAGGAAUUGACGGGACCCGCACAAGCGGUGGAGCAUGUGGUUUAAUUCGAAGAUACGCGAAGAACCUUACCUGGCCUUGACAUUGAUAGAAUCUGGUAGAGAUACUGGAGUGCUAGCUUGCUAGAACUUGAAAACAGGUGCUGCACGGCUGUCGUCAGCUCGUGUCGUGAGAUGUUGGGUUAAGUCCCGUAACGAGCGCAACCCUUGUCCUUAGUUACCAGCACGUUAUGGUGGGCACUCUAAGGAGACUGCCGGUGACAAACCGGAGGAAGGUGGGGAUGACGUCAAGUCAUCAUGGCCCUUACGGCCUGGGCUACACACGUGCUACAAUGGUCGGUACAAAGGGUUGCCAAGCCGCGAGGUGGAGCUAAUCCCAUAAAACCGAUCGUAGUCCGGAUCGCAGUCUGCAACUCGACUGCGUGAAGUCGGAAUCGCUAGUAAUCGUGAAUCAGAAUGUCACGGUGAAUACGUUCCCGGGCCUU
rnacentral:rRNA from 1 species